AUAACUAAAUAGACUUUGGUGAGAAAUCUGUUGCAAUUCGGGAAACCAUUGCGAGCGGUGUACUGCAUACGUGACUAGUCAGCAGUGCUGCCGAUAGAAUAAUCAUGAAAGCUGGACCAUAAUGUUUCAAAGGAGUUGAUUUUAGUGGUUGGAAGACGUACUCUGGCAGAAGUGGGGCAUCUAGGUGUAGUUUAUAAUAAUGAUAGCAACAACGAGAGUGAGAUCUGAUGGCGGCGGGGGACAUUAUUGGGAGUAUUGAAGGACUUGUACAUAUAACUUUUGUGGCUCUUAUAGUCUUACAUUAUGAGCUUUGUCAUCGAUGCUUUCCAAGCCCUUCUCUGCGAUCCAAAGAGUUGAAAUAUGGCUUAGCUGGUGGAACUGGAUUCUUGUUUGUGAGUGCACACUAACAUAAACUAUCUUAUGAAAUUGAGAUCUUCACGACCCUUACCACUAGGUUAACUUGGAGGCAAUUACAUAAAACGCUCCAGGUGCUUGAUGGAGUAUCUAAGUUGGUCACCUGAUUUAGUAAUUAUGUCUAAUGACCCACACACCCUUAUCAAAGUGAUAUGGACCUGAAUGUUUAUUCAUUCUUAUCUUAGUGUCAACUUGAGGCAAAGUGUAAGGCUCAUUGGGUGUACCGAAUUUUGGCCCAUGAAGUGUUAGAGUGUCAUUGCCACCUCUAGUAUUGUAUGAUGAUUUACACAUUCAGUACGAUCGUAUUGAUUGAUUUUGUUAACCCUCUAAGGUGUCUUGAAAAAUGCUUGGCGAUUGCUUGUUUAAAAACAACCGACUUAUCUAAUUGUAGUUACACAAACUGAUCGAAAGUGCCUUAACCAACCAAAUAGAGGGGACCAUACUUGGUUCAUAUCUAAGAUAUAAGAUCUUGGGUCUUUACACUGGGUCCUACAAGUUAUCUGCCUACAAGGCGUGGUGACUAAGUGUUAUUCAGUCUUAAUUUUUUUGGGUCGAUCAGUGAGCCUGCAACAGUAUGCCUACAUUUUCGCAAGUGAUCUCACAACUUGACCAAUAUCCUUGUAUGAUCACAGUCCCGGAUACAUGUUUUAAUUUGAAGGGCUAAUGCAUGACUGAUGGUUGGUUUAAAGGCUUGGUGUCUGGCUGGUAGCUUAUGUAUACAUUUGUUGCUAUGUAGAUCGCUGGUUCAAAGGACCAAGUCUAGUCAAAUAGCUUAUUGGUGUCUAACAUGCCUUUAUGGAACGACAUACCAUCCGUGCAUGGGUUGUAUCCAAGUUAAAGAUUUUGAUCAAUAGAUCAAGUCUGAUACUGGUCAAAAUUUCCUAGAAUUGAACUUGGGGAAUUAAACAUGGUGUGUACCACGUUUGGUCUAUAUGCGAUCCUGGAUGAUGGAAAAAUGAAUAUAGUUCCAUUCCUUCCCUUUGUACCCAAAAGAAGUAUAUUGUGUUUUGCUUUGCACAAACAUUAAGCAAUCUGUACAUUGUCAAACAAUAUGGACUUUACAACACCACAUUCAAGAAAGUCGAGCCUGCAAUGUAGUGGGAAUGACAAUCUUGUCAAAUAAGAACUUGUGCAGGGUAUUUACAAGGACUAAAGGUGUCAAAAAGGAAGUUAAAAGGUUGUUAUGCACUUUAGGAGGCAAUUGAAGAAAGUUAGGAAGAUGAAGGGUGUAAAGUGAAACUUGAAGAUUAAAGGCAUAUAUAAACCCGUUUUAGGAUUUGGUGGCUACAGUUGUUACACACACAUAUGUUUAUCUCUAUUAUUUUCUCUCGGUUGAUUUAGGGUUCUUGUUGAUCUUAUGAUCAUUCUGAUCAUUUGAUUGUUUGAGUUAUUAUUCUGUAAUUGUUAUCUAAACAUAUUGUUUAGAUACUCCUUCUAUACUCUUAAAUUUGUACUCUGAAUAAUAAUCAAUAAUAAUAAUAACAGCCGAUUGAUUCGUUA